rnacentral:rRNA from 1 species
GGAAUGACCGGGCGAGAAGGCAAGGGAAGACGUAGGAGGCAAGGCUUAACCGGAAUUAUGGGGCGUAAAGGGGCCGUAGGGGGGUAGGCAAGUCUGCGGGCAAAGACGGGGGCUUAACGCGGGAGAGGCCGUGGAAACUGACGAGCUAGAGGGCAGUAGGGGUAGAGGGAAUUCCCGGUGUAGCGGUGAAAUGCGUAGAGCUCGGGAAGAACAUCGGUGGCGAAAGCGCUCUACUGGACUGCAACUGACACUCAGGGACGAAAGCUAGGGGAGCGAAUGGGAUUAGAUACCCUAGUAGUC